CAAGCAUUGGAGGGAGAAGAGAACGUGGGUCUUGCUCUGUCCCCUAGGCUGGAGUGCAGUGGUGCAGUCUCAAUUAUGCCAGAUGGCUUUGAGGUCCAAGUAAAAGAUAAUAUUUGCAACCAACUCACUGGAGUUGACUGUCAAAUCUCUUCCAGAGAAUCCAGCCAGGACUGUGAAGCCCCAGGGAAUGGCUGCACUUCAAGUCAGAAGGAGCCUGGGUCCCUGAAUCAUCAUGUGGAAGGCUCUCCACCCAACUCAAUGGUGCAAUGGACCACAAGCAAGAACUUAAUUUAGAAUGUGCUUAUUUUGUUAGAUUUUGUAA
rnacentral:lncRNA from 1 species